rnacentral:lncRNA from 1 species
GGAAGGUGAAGUCUGGCAUUCUCUCACAUAGGAGUAAACUAGAAACAAAUAGCUGUAGUGUUAAUGAAAAGCCAUAAAAGAUUCAGGACAUUACUACCAUAAACAACCUAAAAUGAACGCUAAAGAAACUGACUCAUAUAGCUAUUUCGAAAUCAGGAAUUGGGCACUUUUAAAGAAGGUAAAUUAUUUAUAAAAUAAACAUGAUGAAAUAACUUCAAAACUUCAGCAAGAACGGGAACAAUUGCAAAGUCAUAGUUAUGCCCUCCAUUACUUUGAGAGAGAGAGAGUAGACAGCAUUCCCUAUCAUCAUAUAGCGUAAAAGAUGGCUACAACCAAUAUUUGGCAUCAUUUUAAAGGGAAAUUAAGACAUCACAAGAUCAAUUUAAAAAAAAGGCUAUCACACUGAGGAGGUUAUAAGCUUUCAAAACUCUGGAUUUAAAACAAAAGACAAAAGCACUGGAACAUGUAAACCAUGUAAACUGAUUUUAGCAAUCUUCCAAAUAAGAUUAAAUAUCAUUUCCAAUAUACUGCUUUAAAAUGUAUAAGAUCAGGAAACUUCAGCAUUGUUAUAAUUAAGUUUACUUUAAGGAAAAUAAAAUACAAUAUCCUAUAUUUGGUCACAGUAACUAUUUAUUUUCUGCUUGGCGUGUGGGUGGGUUCAUGAACACAGGACUAGGAAGUAGGCGCCUCAGUUUGCAGGGAGAGCCAUUACCAGUAGUGUUAGAUAUGGUUGUCUAGAAUCUUAGCUCACAUUAAAAUUACCAAGACCUAAAUCAACAUCCUUUUCCAAUUUUAUCUUCUCCAGCAUUGUAUUUCCUAGCAGGGAUACGAUUCUCACCCUUCGAAAUAGGAUCCUAAAUUUCGGUGAUGUGAAAUUUAAACCAACACUAAACUCUAAUUGGACACAAGUUUUCUCCAUAGUCCUUCUCCUAUUUCGAGUUAUCCCCAGUUUCCUUCACCAAAUUUGAGAUGGGGCAUUAACUUUGCUCUCUUUAAAGAUAACAGCAAUGAAUUUUUGAUGCAGGGUUCCUUUCACAGCUUUGAUUACUCAAAAAUAUAAGCCACAUUUUGGAUGACCCAAUUCAAUCAAUCAACACAAGCAUGUUUAAAAAGAGCAAAAAGAAAAGCGUGAAAACCGCCAAUAGUAUAAAGAAAUGGUCUAGAGUAUGAGAGGGUAAUGAUAACAGUUGAAAGAGAAUUAACAACGCAUUGGGUAAGGAUCACAUUUGCUCUCAGAUCAAGUUACCGUUUCAUAGACAGAUUUCCAAACAAAAAGAAGAACAGAAAUGGAAAGCGAAGGAAGUAAAUAAAAGAGAUGAAUAGGUUCUUUUACCGCAAGAGAAAAAUGAGUUCUUUAUAGAGUUUGGGAAUCAUACCAGAGAACUGGUGAAGAAUGGUGCGAAGAAGCACUGCAUUUUUUUUCUUCCUUUGGCUCUCUGUUUGCAGUCAUUAGCAGUAAAGCACUUGUUGCUUUCAUGGCUGCCAUCAAGAAAUUUCUAAGAAAAAAAAGUUGUUGAAAAUGAUAUACGAAACGUUUGCAAUGGUCACUAAGACUGACGAAAUCGUGGGACGGUUGGAAUCAGGGCCUUAACACGUCGCGCCAAAAGCUUAAGACGUGCCGCGCACCGCCCUCAAAC